AUUAGAUACAAAGCCAAUGCCCCUCGGGGCUCUCUGGUGAUUCAUGAUAACUCGUCGAAUCGCACGGCCUUGCGCCGGCGAUGGUUCAUUCAAAUUUCUUCCCUAUCAACUUUCGAUGUUUGGGUAGUGGCCAAACAUGGUGGCAACGGGUAACGGAGGGUUAGGGCUCGACCCCGGAGAAGGAGCCUGAGAAACGGCUACUACAUCCAAGGAAGGCAGCAGGCGCGCAAAUUACCCAAUCCCGAUACGGGGAGGUAGUGACAAUAAAUACUGAUACAGGGCUCUUUUGGGUCUUGUAAUUGGAAUGAGUACAAUUUAAAUCCCUUAACGAGGAACAAUUGGAGGGCAAGUCUGGUGCCAGCAGCCGCGGUAAUUCCAGCUCCAAUAGCGUAUAUUAAAGUUGUUGUGGUUAAAAAGCUCGUAGUUGAAUCUUGGGCCUGGCUGGCCGGUCCGCCCUCACCGCGUGUACUGGUCCGGCCGGGUCUUUCACUCUGCGGAAACACAUGCCCUUCAGUGGG
rnacentral:rRNA from 1 species